CCCUGUUUAAGGAAUCUUUCCAGACGCCCAUCACCCUUCCAUACCUACCUUAUUUAACUAUUGGUAUUGCCCGCAACAUCAUGGGACCGAAAAAUUUGCUUACACCGGUACUGGGUCUGCUGAUAAUUGUGAAUUACGUAACUGCCAUUCAAUGGGAUUUCGAGUUUGGUAAAAAGUACGAGCCGAGCACUUCUGAGCUUACCGAAAAGGAGGGCACAAUUGGACCAUUCUCGUAUCGCAAUUUUUAUAAGUUAACCGUGCCGCCAUUAUCUAAGGUCACAUAUGUCAGAGUAACAGUAUGGUCUCUCAGCCCGCCAAAAGUGGAUUACGAUUGGAACACUGACACUGUUUCCAUCGUUUACUCUUUCAUACAAGUUACAAUCAGCACAUUCAAAAUUCACGUCGAUGGUUAUCCUUACAUUCUUAAAGACAUAAAGGGUUAAUAAGGUUCAAAAUAUAUUUCAUCUAAUUAGUUUCAUCAUUUCUACUAUCUAUAGGUACGUAGGUACGAGUAUAUCAACAGAAAGAUAUCCACUAACUAAGGCUUCUCCUAAGAAACUUCACAACCACAGUUCGUAGGUACAGUGGUGGAUUUGCCCUAAGGCCGAGUAGGCCCGGGCCUAGGGCGGCGAAGUAUUAGGGGCGGCACAUUGUGACAAGAAAUUUGUUGAAUUGUGACAAGAAAUAACUCAAAAUAAACGAAGUUAUAAAUACACGAAUUCAUUACCGCUCCCAAAAUUCCGGGAUAUAAUUACAUAUAUAAGUAAUGUGCCUUCCAUUGAAACUUAAUUCUAGCAACCCUUUGGGUUGGUUUAUGUUUACGUUUACACAUUAAUUAUUUGGGUUCAUUAAAGGUAUUUAAACAUUGUA